rnacentral:rRNA from 1 species
UUCCGGUUGAUCCUGCCGGAGGCCACUGCUAUUGGGAUCCGACUAAGCCAUGCGAGUCGAGAGGGUUCGGCCCUCGGCAGACUGCUCAGUAACACGUGGAUAAUCUACCCUUAGGUGGAGGAUACUCUCGGGAAACUGAGAAUAAUACUCCAUAUAUCUAGGAUGCUGGAAUGCACCUAGAUUGAAAGUUCCGGCGCCUAAGGAUGAGUCUGCGGACUAUCAGGUAGUAGUCAGGGUAAAGACCUGACUAGCCUACGACGGAUACGGGUUGUGAGAGCAAUAACCCGGAGACGAUAUCUGAGACACGAUAUCGGGCCCUACGGGGCGCAGCAGGCGCGAAAACUUCACACUGUGCGAAAGCACGAUGAGGGAAUCCCAAGUGCCAACUCGUAAGAGUUGGCUGUUUCUCUGUCUAAAAAACAGAGAGAGUAAGAGCUGGGUAAGACGGGUGCCAGCCGCCGCGGUAAUACCUGCAGCUCAAGUGGUGGCCACUAUUAUUGGGCCUAAAACGUCCGUAGCCGGUUUAAUAAAUGCCGGGGUAAAUCGUGUAGCUUAACUAUACGAAUUCCGGGUAGACUGUUAGACUUGAGACCGGGAGAAGCUAGAGGUACUCCUGGGGUAGAGGUGAAAUUCUGUAAUCCUAGGGGGACCACCAGUGGCGAAAGCGUCUAGCUAGAACGGGUCUGACGGUGAGGGACGAAGCCCUGGGGCGCAAACCGGAUUAGAUACCCGGGUAGUCCAGGGUGUAAACGCUGCUUGCUGAUGUUAGUUGGGCUCCGAGCCCAACUAGUGUCGGAGAGAAGUUGUUAAGCGAGCUGCCUGGGAAGUACGUCGCAGCUGAAACUUAAAGGAAUUGCGGGGAGCACAGCACGGGUGAGCGUGCG